GUUGUUCUCAGAGACACACUGGGACCUUUCACAUCUCACUGUCACUUCUUGGAAGGGCUCUCUACCUCGUCUGCCUGCUGAGCAACCUCUUGGGGAGACACGGGCCCUCUUGAGUCACUGAACUUGAGCUAUUUGGUGUUGACUUUCUUCAGUCACAUCUGAAUAAAUCACUUAGAAAUGUUGGAAUUUCUGAUGAAUCUGCAGUCAGCAUUUUGCAUGAACUGUGUGUGGAUUCAUUGCCUACAUUGGAUGAUGAAGACUUGAGUGUUGCUACUAAGGCCAUGGUGUGUGAUGUUCCCCAUCCUGUGUCCAAGUGUUCUCAUUUUUCAGUUCCCACCUAUGAGUGAGAACAUGUGGUGUUUGGUUUUCUGUCCUUGGAACAGUUUGCUCAGAAUGAUGGUUUCCAGCUUCAUCCAUGUCCCUACAAAGGACAUGAACUCAUCAUUUUUUAUGCUGCAUAGUAUUCCAUGGUGUUGUGUCCCCAAGAAAGUGUCAGAGCCUUUACGUGGACCUUCUCAUGAAAAAGGAAACAGAAUAGUCAAUGGAAAAGGAAAAGGGCCUCCUGCAAAACAUCCUUCCUUGAAGCCUAGCACUGAAGUGGAAGAUCCUGCUGUGAAAGGAGCAGUACAAAGAAAGUAUGUACAGACAUUGAGAGCAGAACAAACCUUACCAGUGGCUUUAGAGGAAGAGCAAGAAAGGUGUGAAAGAAGUGAAAAGAAGCAAUCACAGGUCAAAGAAGGAAAUAAUACAAACAAAAGUGAAAAAAUACAACUAUCAGAAAAUGUAUGUCAUAGUACAUCUUCUGCUGCUGCUGACAGAUUAACCAAAGAAAGAAAGAUUGGGAAAACGUAUCCUCAGCAAUUUCCCAAGAAACUGAAGGAAAAGCAUGAUAGAUGCAUCUUAAGACAAGAAAGUGAAGAAAAAACAAAUGUUAAUAUGCUGU
rnacentral:lncRNA from 1 species